rnacentral:rRNA from 1 species
UGGGAUUAGAUACCCCAGUAGUCCACGCCGUAAACUUUGGAUACUAAAUAUUGGAAGUAUCGACCCUUCCAGGGUUGUUUACCUAAGCUAACGCCUUAAGUAUCCCGCCUGGGAAGUACGGCCGCAAGGCUAAAACUCAAAGGAAUUGACGGGAACCCGCACAAGCGGUGGAGCAUGUGGUUUAAUUCGAUGGUAAGCGGGGAACCUUACCAAGGCUUGACAUAUAGUUGCAAAUCCUAAGAAAUUAGGACUCCUACGAGGGUACUAUACAGGUGCUGCAUGGUUGUCGUCAGCUCGUGUCGUGAGAUGUACCAUUAAGUUGGGUAACGAGCGCAACCCCUAUUCUAUGUUAAAUAUUCAUAGAAAACUGCCCCGCCCAAAUUUUCUGUAACAUUAAAAGUUCGGAAAAUUUGGGCGGGGAGGAAGGCGGGGAUGACGUCAAAUCAGCAUGGCUCUUACAUCCUGGGCUACACACGUGCUACAAUGGCCAGUACAAUGAGUUGCCAAGUCGCAAGACGGAGCUAAUCUCAUCAAAGCUGGUCUCAGUUCGGAUUGAAGUCUGCAACUCGACUUCAUGAAGCUGGAAUCGCUAGUAACCGCAUAUCAGCCUCGGUGCGGUGAAUACGUUCUCGGGUCUUGUACACACCGCCCGUCACGUCAAGGGAGUCGGUAAUGCCCGAAUGCUGGCAAUAGUCGGCAGAAGGUAGGACCGGUAACAGGGACGAAGUCGUAACAAGGCAUCCGUAGCGGAAGCUGUGGAUGGAUCACCUCCUUU